CCUUUCCUGUUGCCUGCCAUCCCUGCUGCGAGCAGGGACAAGCUGGGUGCUCACUCAUGGCAUCUUAUCUGUUGCAGAUAGUCCACUGUGUGCAGAGGCAUGGGAGUUGUCAUGUUGGGAACAUGCUAGACCUCAGUAUCCUUGAGCUUGAAGAAAGACGACAGAACACUGGAGACCAAGUACUUACAGCCUUCUGCUCUGUGGCCCCUCCUCACUCCAGGGAUGCUGCCUUGGGUCUGGAAACUGUUAGAGGAAACCCCAAGAGGUGCAGGCACUGAGCCUCUCAGGACAAUGACCUGGGGUCCCAGCUCCCCUGGAGGGGCCUCCUCAUGGUAAGUGAAUGCCAAGAGGUUAAGUUGGCCUGUGUUUCCGAGGUGGAAAUUCCAGGUCGCUGGCUUCAUUUGUCUUCUCUUUUAGAUUGUUUGGGGGUUGAUCACAGACCAAGAGUGACGAGUGAUGUCACCCUGUGACUCAUGGCUGGACCUUCUUGCCCCUAUUGUCUCAGCACAACAUUAUUCGACUUUUCCCUCAGCGUGGGUGGGCAGAGGAAAAGCCCUGUGGCUCUGGGGACUUGGGAUCCAGAGUUGAAGACCCUUCAGCUGGCUCUGCCCUGCCAGUGCCACAGAGUGCCAUGGCCCAGGAAGACAGGUUUUCUUCCAUCUAGGCCAGGCCAUCCAGUGGCCAUCCUCCGUGUCCUCCCGCCUCCUCCUGGUGUGACUUCUGAAAACCAAGAAUUUGUUCCUGUUGACUUUUUCUGUGCUAUGGACCAUUGUCCUCUCACCCACUCAAUAAAUCUUGAAACAUGC
rnacentral:lncRNA from 1 species